rnacentral:rRNA from 1 species
CCUACGGGGGGCAGCAGUGGGGAAUAUUGGACAAUGGGGGGAACCCUGAUCCAGCCAUGCCGCGUGUGUGAAGAAGGCCCUCGGGUUGUAAAGCACUUUCAGUGAGGAAGAACGCCUGGUGGUUAAUACCCAUCAGGAAAGACAUCACUCACAGAAGAAGCACCGGCUAACUCCGCGCCAGCAGCCGCGGUAAUACGGAGGGUGCGAGCGUUAAUCGGAAUUACUGGGCGUAAAGCGCGCGUAGGUGGCUUGAUAAGCCGGUUGUGAAAGCCCCGGGCUCAACCUGGGAACGGCAUCCGGAACUGUCAAGCUAGAGUGCAGGAGAGGAAGGUAGAAUUCCCGGUGUAGCGGUGAAAUGUGUAGAGAUCGGGAGGAAUACCAGUGGCGAAGGCGGCCUUCUGGACUGACACUGACACUGAGGUGCGAAAGCGUGGGUAGCAAACAGGAUUAGAUACCCUUGUAGUC